rnacentral:sRNA from 1 species
GAAGCUGAGUACAUCUCAAGUUGCAGGCGGAGCUUGGAAGGCGAGGUCUAUCCUUGAUGGAGCCGAGGAGGAAGCUUCCCUUUGCUUUUGAGACAAAGUGAAACUGCAGAAAAACCUCAGGCUGACCCACUGGAGUCAAAGGAUGCAACAAGCCUGUGCCCAAGUCUCUGUGGAGAGUCCACAGAAGACCCGUGCAGCUCUGAUCUUGUGAAAACAUUGGAACGUUCAUCUGACUGGUACACUCAUCCUGAAAAA